GAUGAACGCUGGCGGCGUGCCUAAUACAUGCAAGUCGAGCGAACGGACGCGAAGCUUGCUUCUCUGAUGUUAGCGGCGGACGGGUGAGUAACACGUGGAUAACCUACCUAUAAGACUGGGAUAACUUCGGGAAACCGGAGCUAAUACCGGAUAAUAUUUUGAACCGCAUGGUUCAAAAGUGAAAGACGGUCUUGCUGGCACUUAUAGAUGGAUCCGCGCUGCAUUAGGUAGUUGGGAAGGUAACGGCCUACCAAGGCAACGAUGCAUGGCCGACCUGAGAGGCUGGUCGGCCACACUGGAACGGGGACACGCUCCAGGCUCCUACGGGAGGCACCAGUAGGGAACCUUCCGCAACAGGCGAAAGCCUGACGGAGCAACGCCGCGUGAGUGAUGAAGGUCUUCGGAUCGGAAAACUCUGUUAUUAGGGAAGAACAUAUGUGUAAGUAACUGUGCACAUCUUGACGGUACCUAAUCAGAAAGCCACGGCUAACUACGUG
rnacentral:rRNA from 1 species